rnacentral:lncRNA from 1 species
CCUUUCUUUUUCUUAUUCAUGCUUUCAUGAAAUGCAACACAUCACAGCUAAUCACAUAAAGGAUUGUAUUGUCACCAUUAGUCCUCAACAUCUCCAAAUGCCAGGGGCAUAGAAUGGGCCUCACUGGUCUUUCUCUUACAUAUCAUAACAUUCCUAAAAUGCCAGGGGCGUAGAAUGGGCCUCGCUGGUCUUUCUCUUUCAUAGUGCCAGGGGCGUAGAAUGGGCCUCACUGGUCUUCCAUAACAUAUCAUCAUAACAUAACAUCAGAGGACUAUGGAUCACCCAACAACCAUCCACAUCAACAUCAAUUUAUGCAAUGCAGCAUAUUCGUGAAUUCUAAUGCAAACAUCCUGAAAUAUUGCAUGGCAUAAUGAUGCAUGGGCAAUGCUUUAUGAUUCAUUCAUUUAUUCAUUUACAUUACUUUAAAACUUAAAGGAUUGUUCCACUCACCUGGUGACUGAAGCUUAACAACGAACUCUGAACGACUAUCUCACAACCGGGGGUCUCGGUUCCUCGA